rnacentral:rRNA from 1 species
UACGUAGGGGGCGAGCGUUGUCCGGAUUUAUUGGGCGUAAAGAGCUCGUAGGCGGCUCGGUAAGUCGGGUGUGAAAUUUCGAGGCUCAACCUCGAGACGCCACCUGAUACUGCUGUGGCUAGAGUCCGGUAGGGGAGCGUGGAAUUCCUGGUGUAGCGGUGAAAUGCGCAGAUAUCAGGAGGAACACCGGCGGCGAAGGCAGCGCUCUGGGCCGGUACUGACGCUGAGGAGCGAAAGCGUGGGGAUCAAACAGG